rnacentral:rRNA from 1 species
GAUGAACGCUGGCGGCGUGCUUAACACAUGCAAGUCGAACGGAAAGGCCCAAGCUUGCUUGGGUACUCGAGUGGCGAACGGGUGAGUAACACGUGGGUGAUCUGCCCUGCACUUCGGGAUAAGCCUGGGAAACUGGGUCUAAUACCGGAUAGGACCACGUCUUGGAUGUUGUGGUGGAAAGUUUUUUCGGUGUGGGCUGAGCUCGCGGCCUAUCAGCUUGUUGGUGGGGUAUUGGCCUACCAAGGCGUCGACGGGUAGCCGGCCGGCGAGGGGGUACGGCCACAUGGGGACUGAGAUACGGCCCAGACUCCUAAGGGAGGCAGCAGGGGGGAAUAUUGCACAAUGGGCGCAAGCCUGAGGCAGCGAGGCCGCGUGGGGGAUGACGGCCGUAGGGUUGUAAACUCCUAUAGCUAGGGAAGAAGCGUUUUUGUGACGGUACCUGGAGAAGAAGCACCGGCUAACUACGUG